AAAUGAACAUUUAUCAAAACUGAUGGUAUCAGGCUCGAAUUUUGGUUCCGACGCUCGGUACAAGUCUUAAAUGAGCGUUAAGCGCUAUUUGAAAAGUUUGGUUGAAACGGACGUCGUUUGACGUGUUUCGAACUAAAAUGGAAAUUUUGAAAUUUUGAACUUUGAAAUGAAAAUCAUGAGUUUUGGAGGUUGAUUCUUUAAAUUUGAUAUUAUUUUGGCGAUUUGAUUGCAUGAGUAAGUCUGUAGGAUGUUUUGAGGUUGAGUGCAUGUUUGGGUUGGAGCCCCGAGGGCUCGGGUGAGUUUUGGAUAGGUGUUGGGUACAUUUUGCAUGUUAGGAAUGGGUUUCAGGUGUUGCAGACCUGCAGGCUUCGCAAUUUCGCAAAUGCGAAUAGGGUCCGGGACUGUUGAGCUCGCAAAUGCGAAGGAAAACAUCGCAAAUGUGAUUCCUACUAUUCAAGCAGCUUUCGAAAAUGCGAAGGAUAUCUCGCAAAUGCAAAUUUCCCCGCCUAAGCCAUGGGUUCACAAAUGCGAACAUUAUCUAGCAAAUGCGAGUUCUGCCUUUCUUUUGUUGAGUCGCAAUUACGAAAAAAUCUUUGCAAUUGCAAUAUCUGCAGCUGUGCAUUCUAUACUUAGACGAUUUUAAACUUCAUUUUUCAUAUUUUCAAGACCCAAACCUC
rnacentral:lncRNA from 1 species